UUUUCCUCGGAAAAAACCGAUGAAUUCCGAGGAAAUAUUAUAGCCGUUAGAGAGCCGUUGGGGGAUUUUACAAAAUUCCGGGGAAAUUCCGACGAACAAGACUUUUCCGUCGGAAUUCCGUCGGAAUUUCCUCGGUAUGUCGGCAGGAUUUAAACUAUAAAUACAAGCACUCCUCUUCCUCUUCUUUCACUCCAUACCUUCAUCCUCCCUCUUACUCUAUUUACACACGAAUUUGAUUCAUA
rnacentral:lncRNA from 1 species